UUUUACAAAAAUACUAUCAUUUUUUUAAAUAAAUUGCAAAAAUACUAUAGUUCAAAAAUUAUUUGCAAAAAUACGGUGGUUGCAUAUGCAACCAUAUCUGCAGUCGCUAGCAACCACAUAUGCAACCACAAAUGCAAUUUUGAAAAAAUCUUUUAAAAAUUAUAUUCAGUUACAUAACAUGUUGCAAAUGAAGACAAAUGAGUGCCCCUACGGGGUUAAAACUAAUAUCACAAAAGCAACCAUCAAAUCAACUAAAAGCAAAUCAAAAAUCACUACAAAAUCCAAUCCACCUAGCUUCAACCACCAUAAACUCCGGCAAUUCAUCUUCAUCGAAACUCCGUUACACAUCCUAUUUCAACCCACGCCAUCACACUCGCACUUCCGACAAAGACAUCACCAACACCUCUGAUUCAACACCCAAACCUGUUUCUCCAACCAACAACCACACUCAAAGCGUCGAUCCAACAUCUUACGCAGAUCUAUUUCCCAUUUUAUUCACAAGUCUAAUCACACUCAAAAUAUCUUAUGAUUAUGUAGGUACAUGUGUAUAGAAGAUAAAAGAUGUAGAUCGAGAUGAGAAGGAGAUGUUGUAAUUUGAAAAGGAGAGGAAGAGAGAAAGAAGGGUGCGCGAGAGGAGAUAGAUAGAGGCUGGGGAGAAACGGUAAAAUAGCAAAUUUUUGAUAUAUUUUUAUGACGAAAACGUAUAUCUGCAAUUAUUAUAAUAAAAUCGUACUAAUGCAACUAGUUUGUUGAAAAUGGGUACAGGUGACAAAUUCUCAUAAUAAAAUUAGUUCGAACCGCCACCCGUCAAAGACAAUAUUAAUCCAUAAUUAUUAUUUUUAUGAUAAAAUUAAAUAUUAUAAUCCAGAUCAAUAUUAGUUUGAG
rnacentral:lncRNA from 1 species